UGCUGCUGCCGUGAGAGUUGUAAACGAGAGAGAAAGGUAUGAAAACCUGCUCGUCUUGCACAAGAAACUAAUAAAUUACUUAGUCGAUUAUAUAAAUUGAUUGAAAUUCCAUUUUAGGAGAACCGUCGAAGACGCACUUUUAAUUGUCCUGUCUUCUCCUAAUGAAGCCGCCUUUUUGGUCAGGUCUUAUUUGAUGCCUGGAAAAUGUGAAGCUCCAGCCCUGGUGUCCAACGAAGCUGACCAGCGAUCCAGUUGAUGGUGAACCUCACAGUGGAACUUUGAGCCACCACCACACCAUUCAGUGGAUUCUGUGGUAGGAUUGUGUUAGUCCCACUGACCGACACCAACAAGAGUCUACUUGGAUACUUUUCCUUGACUUUGACUACUCCCUUGACUGAUUGACUUGAACUCUGAUUGGAUCCACAAUGAACCGGUUCCACCGGAAUACUUCAAAUGGAUAUUUUAUGGUUUUUUUCUCAGUUUAUUGGGCCCAUAGGUACUGUAUUGCUAUGAUAUUGUGUACUGUUUAAAUAGCUUUCUAAAACUAAAAGUUCACAAUAACAACAUGUACCUGUGUCCAGUGGUUAUUGCUAUUACUCCUAGCUCCUACGAACCUGGGUAGCGACAUGUACAUACUCAGAAGUGGGUUACAUGGGGAAUAAUCUCAGGGAGGAAGUGAAUAUUAUCUCAAUCCCCGUUAGCUGCAACAAGUGACCUGCUCUCCUCGCAUAUUUCUGUUACUCACUGUCGUAGGUCAGUCUGGAUCUCAUCACAUGGAUCCACUGUUUUCAUUUCCUCUGUCGCUUCGUCUGGAAUGAUGAUGGAGUCUUCUGCAGUUUGGGGUUUCAGAUAUUUCUUGCACUUUUCUGAUGCAAGAGGGAGUGCAGAACUGUUGAAGCCCUCUGCCUCUCUGAGGGCGACAACAGUGAUAGCACCUAAGAUCUGUUUUGCGUGGUCCAAGGAUUGUGACUGAAGAAGCUGUGCUAAUGACCUGACAAAGAAAUCGUUGACUCGGUGUGUUUAGUUUUUCAUGCAGUCCCACUGGCAGAUCAUCUUGAUGCAGUGUGCAGCAUCAACCCUGACCAAACAAGGGGUUGUUUUGCAGACUGGUUCCCACGUAAGCCAUUAAAGCAUUCGUUAAUGUAGGUCUUCAGAUCAGGACGAGGAGUGAAAGCCUUGACCAAAGCUCCAAGAAUGGCCAGAGAAAAAUCACUCACAGCUUCCUUUGGAACAGCUGCAUCUGCACAAAUCCAUUCUGUCAAUCAAUUUGCAAUGGCAUUCACAUCAUGUCUCUCUGACAGCAUUUGCACCACUGGGGCACUGAAGCAGUUGUGUACUGUCAGAACACCUUGAUACAAGAAGAUAUGGCCAGAUGUACCAUUUGGUCUCACCAGUUUUCUCACUACUGAGCCAGUUGCAUCAAAACACACUGUUGGGUGAGAUGUCUUGGACAAUGUGUUGUAUAUAUGCAGCUGAGUUUGACUCCAGUGACAGAAAAACUUAUCCAGUCCAAUGUCUCAAAUGCUGCCACUGUGAGGUGCACUAUAUUUUAAUAACUGCAAAGAUACAAUAGGAUCUUUGUCCCCAAAUUCCAGAUCUUGUCUCUCUUGUUUGGCUUUCAGCAGGGUGGCCAAAUUAGGUAGGUGGCUUGGCUCAGGACUACCAACAUCCAUUAGAUCUGCUGCCUUUGCUGACCUCCAUACAGCUGGUUCCAUCGUGCCCUCACACAAUCUUCUCACACGGGUCUUCCAGACAUGAACUGCUUGGACAGGCCAGUGUGCAGGGAGAUAUCUGUAUUUUUAUGUAACAUUGGAGCAUCACUGGGCUUUUAAUUGCUACCUCUCUGUCACAUGUCAUUUCAAAAUGGCCAUGACACUCCUUACAGUCUACACUUCUUGCUUUUCUAUAUAAUCAUGCACCAUUUCACAAAAAAACAAAGAUUAGAGCAAAACCAAGAGUGGAUCUCUGAUUUAUUUGCCGUUUUAACAUAUAAAACUGAAUAAAAAGUGGUUUAAACCUGCUGCUGACACACUAAUGCUUCACUAUUGAUAAUCUAAAGAUGUUAUAUAUAAUAAUAGGGACCAAAUCAGAACUUUUACUUUAAUACUUCAACUAUAUUUGGCUACAUAUACCCACAUACUUUUAUUUAAGUAGGAUUUUUCAUACAGGACUAUUUCUUAGAUUAGAGUACUGGUGCUUUUAUUGCACCACUGGCUGCAGGCAGAAAAGGUCGACUGAUAAGGAGCGUCAAAGGCUGGCUAAAGGUUAAUCAGUUUGACCUUAACUGUAGUUAAUGUUCGAUUUAAUCUUUGUAUUAAUCACAUGUGACCUGAGAUAAGUGGCUCUCGGUUGUUUCUGCAGCACUGACCUGAUGACUGUGGGGUAAAGCUCAGUCGUGUAGAGGAAGAUGGUGGUGAAGGCAGCUUCUGAGAAGCCUUUUCCCAGGACGGCGAACACGGCACGAACCUGCCACAGGUCUGAGGAGAGGACAGAGGAUAAAUGGUGUAUUAGCUCAGUGUUAAACAUGCAGAAACCCUGGAACAAAAAGGGAAAAUACAGAUUAAUUUGGUGGUCUAAACUUUGUGGUGAAUGAAAGCUUGAUCAGGACCGGACAGAAAACAGAUGUUUCCUAACAGCAGUUGUGACUCACCUGGUAGGAUGUGAUUGUUCGGACUAUUUUUAGACUGAUAAUGGGUGAAUCAGCCCACAAGGACAAAAGUAGACGCAAUUUAUAUUUUAUAAAUGUUCAGUGAGACAGUUUCACACAAGCCCGCAUGAAAAGAAAAACGUCAUGAUUUCAAAUUCUUUCAAGAAUCAAGAAUUUUUAUUGUCACACAGCGAAAUUUCGAUUGGUGACUCCCAGCUAUAGAUAAAAAAAAUAAAAAAUGGCACACUAUAUACAAGUAAAAUAAAAGAAUAUUUUUUUUUUAAAAAUCCUCAAAAAUAUAAAUAUGUAAACAGGGUUAGUGCACAUGAGCAGUAGGCAGAACUUAACCCUACAGAUACUUUUUUAAAUUGUUUUUGCUUUUUUACUUUUUUUUGUUGCUCCUGUCACAUUUUCACUUAUUAUGGCCUCAAUUUUCUCUGCAAUAUAAUUUUUUGCACCUCUAUGGAAACAGAACAACCAUGAAGAAAGAAAACUCAGAAAUGUCUUAUGCAGCAUAAACAAGUUAUAAGGCAUCAAAAGCUCACAUAAGUAAAAUUUCUUUGACUAUUUCUUUUUUUUUUUUUUUUUUUAAAGAAAAAACCCUGAAACUACAUGCACAACAUUUUUCCAAGCAUCCACAAACAUUACUAACAUUAGGGAAUAAAUUGUCUCUACAUAUUAUAGAUGUUUUACUCAUAUUUCAAAUUACAUUUUUUUUUACAUCUAUCUGCUAUCUGUUAUGCUGAAAAGUUGCUGAAUUUUUGUCAUGUGACUGUUGGUCACAGUUAAAUAACUAAUGGUUUCACAAUUG